UAAAGACCACGAGGACCAAUCUUUAUU
rnacentral:piRNA from 1 species